UUUUUUUUUUUUUUUUUUUUUUUUUUUAAUUCAUGAGAGGUGCCGGGGAGGCAGAGGGAGAAGCAGGAUCCCUGCAGGAAGCCUGAUGUGGGACUCAAUCCUGGGACCCUGGGAUCACACCUGAGCCAAAGGCAGACGGUUCAACCACUGAACCACCCAGUCAUCCCAGUAGUUUUAAAUACUUCUCAGGUGAGCGGUCACUUGGAAUUAUGUUAAAGGGGCAGCUUAUUAUUUUUUUAAGAUUUUUUAAAUUUAUUCCUGAGACAGAGAGAGAGAGGCAGAGAGAAGCAGCCCCAUGCGGGACUCAAUCCAGAGACCCCAGGACCACACCCUGAGCUGAAGGCAGAUGCUCAACCACUGUGCCAACCAGGCAUCUCCCCCACAUUUCUUUUUGUUCUGCGAAGACCUGACUGGGUGAGAAGUCAGGGAAUCUUUGGCAUGAUGCAGUGAUGACCAUGGUUCAAUAACUAUGAAACUGGCCCAGCAAAGCCCAGCUCACUGGAAAAGACCAGCAUUCCUUUUUUCUCCAUUUAAAAUGAAAUAAAAGCAGUUACAUAAUAAUAAAAACACUUUAUACCAGCAGGUACUCUGUACCAAAACCUGUACUAUAGCAUAUUUACACGUAAUCCCCAGGUUCCUUCUACCAAGCCUGCAGAGUGGGUGUUCUCAGGGCUGCCGACUGGGAAUCACCCCAGAUUUUGAUGUUGGCUGGCUGUGGCCAGCCUGGAAGGACAGGAGGGACAGAUGUUUCUCCUGGUUUUGUAUGUGAAAUCUUGUUACUGACCUACAACAGCAGUGGCUAAGGAAAUGGCUGUUUCACAUUGCCUGAUGCAUUCCCAGGAGAAUCUUGGAGUACUACUGUCAGGGCUACCCUGGAACUCCCGUGUUUGGGGUCAUUCCGACAAAGAACAAAACAACAGUUGGGGUUCUUGGGCACUCCUGGCUGUGAGUGUCAGCCACAGUUGCCCAGCACUGCCUGGGGGCCAGUGUAGGCUGGGUGCUGCAAUCACCCAGAGCGAAGGAGUCCCCUGUUCUGAAGUCACUGCCCUUGGCUCCAAGCUAGAGGGUCCAAGAUUCCGGGCCCCCGCAGGUCUGCACGCAUGAUUCUGUGCACCUCUCCCCAUCUGGCCACAGCUCAGACACCUGGCUAUCUCCAUUUCUAUGCUUUGUCAACUUGGCUUAAUAAACAAUAAGGGUUAUACCUGUUGCUCCUUUAUACAUCUUAACAGGUAACUCAUUUGCACCUUGACAAAGAUGAGAGAUGAGUAAAGCAGGAAUUCUCUUAGUUUUAUAAUGAAAUCCACGUACCAAAGAGAUUAUGUGAUUUGCCUGGGAUCACAUGGCCUGGAAGGGGCAGGGCCUGAACUCCAGCCCUGUUUCUGAUCCUAAAGUCCUUGCAGCCCUGUGUGGACUCUAGCUCUGUGGGUGGCGGUGUGGGGAGUUACAGCAGCCAACGGAACUCUGAGGAGUCAGUUCCAGGAGUGACAGGCCCGGCGCGUCCCCUUCCAGGUUCACGAAGGGAAACAACCACGAGGAAACAGCGAGAAAGAUCAACUUUGGAAGGGGCGUGGGUUGCUUCCUUCCCUAGAGGGACCGGGGCCUUCC
rnacentral:lncRNA from 1 species